rnacentral:tmRNA from 1 species
GCGAGACACAGUCGGGCUGGUCGCGGGUGAUCCUGUUCGUCGGAGACCCCGCGACGACACCAAAGGACGAACUACGCGCGUAGAGGCCCAGGACGGAGCAUCUCGGGACGCGGGUUCGAUUCCCGCCGCCUCCACCA